CCUACGGGAGGCAGCAGUGGGGAAUUUUGGACAAUGGACGCAAGUCUGAUCCAGCCAUGCCGCGUGCGGGAAGAAGGCCUUCGGGUUGUAAACCGCUUUUGUCAGGGAAGAAAAGGCUCUUUCUAAUAAAGAGGGCUCAUGACGGUACCUGAAGAAUAAGCACCGGCUAACUACGUGCCAGCAGCCGCGGUAAUACGUAGGGUGCAAGCGUUAAUCGGAAUUACUGGGCGUAAAGCGUGCGCAGGCGGUUGUGCAAGACAGGUGUGAAAUCCCCGGGCUUAACCUGGGAACUGCACUUGUGACUGCACGGCUAGAGUACGGUAGAGGGGGAUGGAAUUCCACGUGUAGCAGUGAAAUGCGUAGAUAUGUGGAGGAACACCGAUGGCGAAGGCAAUCCCCUGGACCUGUACUGACGCUCAUGCACGAAAGCGUGGGGAGCAAACAGGAUUAGAUACCCUGGUAGUCCACGCCCUAAACGGUGUCAACUGGUUGUUGGGAGGGUUUCUUCUCAGUAACGUAGCUAACGCGUGAAGUUGACCGCCUGGGGNGACGCGCGAGUAAGUAAGUACAANAGUAAGUUAGAGGCGUUGAGACGNGCGAGACGACACGAGGAGAGG
rnacentral:rRNA from 1 species